GAUGAACGCUGGCGGCGUGCCUAAUACAUGCAAGUCGAGCGAGAUGUUAGCGCAUGAACCUUCGGGGGAUUAUGCUAACGGAAAGCGGCGGACGGGUGAGUAACGCGUAGGCAACCUGCCCCUGACAGAGGGAUAGCCAUUGGAAACGAUGAUUAAAACCUCAUGACACCGUAGAAGCACAUGCUUCAUCGGUCAAAGAUUUAUCGGUCAGGGAUGGGCCUGCGUCUGAUUAACUAGUUGGUGAGGUAACGGCUCACCAAGGUGACGAUCAGUAGCCGACCUGAGAGGGUGAUCGGCCACAUUGGAACUGAGACACGGUCCAAACUUCUACGGAAGGCAGCAGUAGGGAAUCUUGCACAAUGGGCGAAAGCCUGAUGCAGCAACGCCGCGUGAAGGAUGAAGGCCUUCGGGUUGUAAACUUCUGUUCUAAGGGAAGAAACAAAUGACGGUACCUUAGGAGCAAGCCCCGGCUAACUACGUGCCAGCAGCCGCGGUAAUACGUAGGGGGCAAGCGUUAUCCGGAAUUAUUGGGCGUAAAGAGUGCGUAGGUGGUUACCUAAGCGCAAGGUUUAAUUUAGAGGCUCAACCUCUACUUGCCUUGCGAACUGGGCUACUUGAGUGCAGGAGGGGAAAGCGGAAUUCCUAGUGUAGCGGUGAAAUGCGUAGAUAUUAGGAGGAACACCAGCGGCGAAGGCGGCUUUCUGGACUGUAACUGACACUGAGGCACGAAAGCGUGGGUAGCAAACAGG
rnacentral:rRNA from 1 species